UGAUCUUCAUGUCCCGUUCGCGUGCUCCGGUAUCCCUGAUUGAACCUGUGUGUACCGACCUUCGUCCGUUCUCCGACCAACCUUGUGCUUCAAACAAUGCCCUGAGUCAUUCGCAUGCAUCUGGAGCCAACCGAGCAUCUGUCCCUCAGAGCUCCUCCCUGGCCAUAGCCAGGGCAUGUCUCACGUCGCGGGGUAGGGGUUAGAAUUUCAGCUGCGGCCCUCCUAUGCACCCCAGCACAUGUGCUGUCACUCACUGCCUUGGCAACCCGCAGAUGGAUGAAGAAAGAAGUGAGGCAGCUGUUGGUGGUGCAGACACAGACACUGCUUUUGUCAGUCAAUGAAGUCAGUAAACUUUUUUUGUUUCCACUAAAAGAAAAAAAAACAAUCGUGUGUGAUAGAAAAACACAUGAAACUGUCUUUAUUUUUUGCUUUGGUUUCUUCCACUACAUAUCGAUGCAGAAUGGGCAUACAUGGUUAACAUGUAACAAAUUUAUGUGACAAUCAAGACUAUUUGCGUGAGCGAACAUCUAGCAUCACGAAGACUUUAAUACCGACACUGUCAAUUUCAUUGUACGCGCAGCAAUUGAUCAUUAUGAAAUGCUUUCAAAGGAAAUGAUAUGUGUUUUCCCAAAUUGAAACCGUAGUAAUUUUACUGUAUGUGAACUUUGAGGAAAGUAAUGGGAAAAUUAUCUUAAGAAAUAAUUAUUCCGGUAUUUGGUGAAUACAAAUGAAUUUGGUUACCCUAAUUGACCUAAAAUGGGAAACAUUUACUUAUUUAAUUUCAGACAACGAAGGAAAAAAAGGAUUCUUAUGAACACUACCAUAAUCUCUUAAAACAUCUGGUUUCAACUGUGUAACACCAAACAAUCAUUCAUUCUGAUGUACAGUAUUCUUACGGGCACUACAUACAGCAUACGCAGUAUACUGUACUAUAGAGGGCAGUUUAACUGACAUUGUAAUUUAAUGCUGAGGUGACAAAAGUUGAAUUCAUGUUUUCAAGCAGGAGAUUCCCCUCUGUUCUUUCCCCCCAAAAGUAUUUCAUUAAAAAUAGUUAUCUUGUGAAGAUAUCAACUGCAAGGUAUUGUCGGCUUGAUAAUUAAUUGAUGCAAACAUAACCAAAAUCUUGUAGAAAUUAUUUUUCAAAGAGUGAAAUUUGUUACACUGGCUUACCCCUUUGUCUCACCAAAAAAGGUUUUUCAAA